GGGCCUGGUAAUUUAGCGGGAUAGAGCGAAUGACUACGAAUCAUUCGGUCGGAGGUUCGACUCCUUCCGCCAUCCA
rnacentral:tRNA from 1 species